rnacentral:rRNA from 1 species
CUACCUAGUUCUACGGAACAACAGUUGGAAACGACUGCUAAUACCGUAUACGCCCUACGGGGGAAAGAUUUAUCGGAAUUAGAUGAGCCCGCGUAAGAUUAGCUAGUUGGUGGGGUAAUGGCCUACCAAGGCGACGAUCUUUAGCUGGUCUGAGAGGAUGAUCAGCCACACUGGGACUGAGACACGGCCCAGACUCCUACGGGAGGCAGCAGUGGGGAAUAUUGGACAAUGGGCGCAAGCCUGAUCCAGCCAUGCCGCGUGAGUGAUGAAGGCCUUAGGGUUGUAAAGCUCUUUCACCGAUGAAGAUAAUGACGGUAGUCGGAGAAGAAGCCCCGGCUAACUUCGUGCCAGCAGCCGCGGUAAUACGAAGGGGGCUAGCGUUGUUCGGAUUUACUGGGCGUAAAGCGCACGUAGGCGGUUUGUUAAGUCAGGGGUGAAAUCCCGGAGCUCAACUCCGGAACUGCCUUUGAUACUGGCAAGCUAGAGUCCGGAAGAGGUAAGUGGAACUCCUAGU